ACCAAUUGCAAAACAUCGAUCCCCUGCAUUGCAGGCCCCACUUAAUAUUUGAUGGCAGUUCAUUACUGUCUCAUAUUUUAACCAAUAAUCACUUUUAAUCUUUUCAGUACUGAGUACUUAGAAUAGAGCUGUGUCGACUAAAAUUAAUGACGGCUGUAGCGAUGACUGACACUGAAAAUUUGAGCGGCGGUAUAAAUCAGCUGAAUGCCGGCCUAGCUUUUAAGUGCCGGUCCACAUAGGAAACUUCUUUUGGAACUAUUGAUUUUGAAGAAGAAUUCUGGGACUGAAAAUAAUAAUUAAUUUAAAAUAAAAAAUUUGCAGAAGA
rnacentral:lncRNA from 1 species